rnacentral:tRNA from 1 species
AGGGAGGUGGCUCAGUGGAUAGAGCAAAUUCUUUGCAAUUAUGAGGCCCUAGGUUUGAUUCCUGGCUUUUUGA